GAUGAACGCUGGCGGCGUGCCUAAUACAUGCAAGUCGAGCGAAUGGAUUAAGAGCUUGCUCUUAUGAAGUUAGCGGCGGACGGGUGAGUAACACGUGGGUAACCUGCCCAUAAGACUGGGAUAACUCCGGGAAACCGGGGCUAAUACCGGAUAACAUUUUGAACCGCAUGGUUCGAAAUUGAAAGGCGGCUUCGGCUGUCACUUAUGGAUGGACCCGCGUCGCAUUAGCUAGUUGGUGAGGUAACGGCGCACCAAGGCAACGAUGCGUAGCCGACCUGAGGGGGUGGUCGGCCACACUGGGACUGAGACACGGCCCAGACUCCUACGGGAGGCAGCAGUAGGGAAUCUUCCGCAAUGGACGAAAGUCUGACGGAGCAACGCCGCGUGAGUGAUGAAGGCUUUCGGGUCGUAAAACUCUGUUGUUAGGGAAGAACAAGUGCUAGUUGAAUAAGCUGGCACCUUGACGGUACCUAACCAGAAAGCCACGGCUAACUACGUGCCAGCCGCCGCUGUAA
rnacentral:rRNA from 1 species